rnacentral:lncRNA from 1 species
GAUAUCUUUCUCCCCAUCCUUAAUUUCUAACUUAUGAUAUGACUCUUCAUAUAUCUUGAAUCUAGCAUCUUAUACCACCUGGUUGACGUCCUUCUUAACCAUCUUAUAUCAUUUAUAUAUUUUCUAUUCCUAUAUUCAAGUAAUCUUUUAAAACACUUUCUUUUAGCCUUAACAAUGGAUUGAACUUUCUCAUUCUACCACCAAGUUCUUUAUGAAAUGGGACUUUUACCUCUGAUUCACCUAAUACCAUUUAGAAAAAUCCCUCC